AUCCAGCCAUGCCGCGUGAGUGAAGAAGGCCUUCGGGUUGUAAAGCUCUUUCGGCCGGGACGAAAUCGCACGGGGCUAAUAUCCUGUGUGGAUGACGGUACCGGAAUAAGAAGCACCGGCUAACUACGUGCCAGCAGCCGCGGUAAUACGUAGGGUGCGAGCGUUAAUCGGAAUUACUGGGCGUAAAGCGUGCGCAGGCGGUUUGAUAAGACAGGCGUGAAAUCCCCGGGGCUUAACCUGGGAACUGCGCUUGUGACUGUCUCACUAGAGUACGGCAGAGGGGGGUGGAAUUCCACGUGUAGCAGUGAAAUGCGUAGAGAUGUGGAGGAACACCGAUGGCGAAGGCAGCCCCCUGGGCCGAUACUGACGCUCAUGCACGAAAGCGUGGGGAGCAAACAGGAUUAGAUACCCUGGUAGUCCACGCCCUAAACGAUGUCAACUAGGUGUUGGGUGGGUAAAACCAUUUAGUACCGGAGCUAACGCGUGAAGUUGACCGCCUGGGGAGUACGGCCGCAAGGUUAAAACUCAAAGGAAUUGACGGGGAC
rnacentral:rRNA from 1 species